GAAGGUGCUCCCUGGCCGGCAGGGCUCAGAAGAGAAGUAGGGCACGGCAUCGUCCUCUGCUGACCACCUGCACUCGGCUCCCCGUGCGCUGCAGGUCCCUGUUCCAGCAGCUUCUCUACGGCCUCAUCUACCACAGCUGGUUCCAAGCAGACCCCGCGGAGGCCGAGGGGAACCCCGAGACGCGCGAGAGCAGCUGCGUCAUGAAACAGACCCAGUACUACUUCGGCUCGGUAAACGCCUCCUACAACGCCAUCAUCGACUGCGGAAACUGCUCCAGGCUGUUCCACGCGCAGAGACUGACCAACACCAAUCUUCUCUUUGUGGUGGCCGAGAAGCCGCUGUGCAGCCAGUGCGAGGCUGGCCGGCUGCUGCAGAAGGAGACGCACUGUAUCCUGCCCCCGCCCUCCCCGCCGCCCGCUCCCCCUCUGCCCCGCGCGCCCCCUCCGUGCCGCCGCCGCCUUCCGCCUCCUUGACUCCCCACCCAUGCCCAGCGGACGGCCCGGAGCAGUGUGAGCUAGUGCAGAGACCGCGAUACCGGAGAGGCCCGCACAUCUGCUUCGACUACAACGCGACAGAAGAUACCUCAGACUGUGGCCGCGGGGCCUCCUUCCCGCCGUCGCUGGGCGUCCUGGUCUCCCUGCAACUGCUGCUCCUCCUGGGCCUGCCGCCCCGGCCGCAGCCUCAAGUCCUCGUCCACGCCUCUCGCCGCCUCUGAGCACCCUGCCCCACCCCACCUCCACUCCCACCUCACCCGGCCUUUUCGCCUUUCCCACCCUCCUGCCCCACACUCCCCGCCUUAGAGCCUCGUCCCUCCCUCACUGAAGGACCUGAGCUGGCCAGGCCCUGAGAGUCUGGUCUGCGCCUUGGGAUGGGGAGUCCCAAAGCGGGACGCCGCAGGUGUUUGGCACCCAAAUCACAUCUCACCUCCGAACUGUUCAAGUGUCCCCAGACCCUUCUUCCCUGCUGGGCUCCCCCCAGUGGGAUGGGACAGGGAGGCCACACGCACUGGUGCCAAAACCAGGCCUCUGCUGCCGCCCUUCCUGGAGGCUGCCUAUGUUGGGGGGGACCCUGCCUCAGCUGACCGGGCCUCUCUGCCCCACCCAAGCCCAAACUUGGUUUCUGUGAGAAUAGUGGAGGAAGGCGAGAUGGCCAGUUUGAGGCCUGUGCCUCCCAGCUUAAAUCCUAGCAGGAGAGAGGCUCUGGGGCAGCCCCCAUGGGCUCCUGCCCCUUUCAGGCCUACAGCCACAUCCCCAAGCCCACCAGGUGUCAGGAUAGUCACAGUGAUACCAGUUUAGACACUACCCCAUAUACACCUGGAACAUUGAGGAUGGAAACUGGACUCACAUUCGACAUACCCCACUGGGCACACGCACAAACACACACACUAUGGGGUGGGGUGGGUGUAGGGGCUUACAAAGCCUUACACAGGGCGAGGGGUUGGUGGGAGGGUUGGCACCUGCACACUCCAUCUCCUGCUCACCACCUGCCUCUAAUCUGAGCUGCAGCCUGGCUGGUCCUCCCAUUUCUAAAGCUGAAUGUCAAACAGUGCCAAAUGCUGGGGCAGGGGGUGAAGAACCCUCUGUCCCACCCCUAGCCACCAGUGUCCUCCAAGUGCCCCCUCACCUCUCCAGGUGCUCAUUGUAACCAUUUCUCACUAGUGUCAGGCCCCCAGUGGGACCACAUGCCACUGCCUGCACCUUUCGGCAGAGGAACCCCCACCAGACAUCACCCUUUGCCUUAGCAGGGGUGACUUUGUCUCUCCUGGCUGGGCCAUCCUUCCCCCAAUCUGGCCCUUAAACACUCAGGCCUGUGCCCACUCCCUAUCUCCUUCCCACCCCUACACACACACUCCCUGCUUGCAGGAGGCCAAACUGUCCCUCCCUUGCUGAACACACACACACACACACGCUCUGUGCACACACAGAGGUGGGGACUGGGCACAGCUCUUCACACCAUUCAUUCUGGUCAUUUCCCCCAAAGGCAUCCCAGCCUGGGGGCCAGUGGGGAACUGAGGGCAAGGGGAUAUAGUGAUGGGGCUCAGAUGGACUGGGAGGAGGGGGGAGGGUGAUGCAUUAAUUAAUGGCUUCGUUAAUUAAUGUCAUGUUGCUUGUCGCUUUCUCAGUGUGUGUGUAUGGUCCAUGCCCACUGCUGGUGCCAGGGUGGGUGUCCAUGUGCACCCGGCCUGGAUGCCAGCUGUGUCUUUCGGGGGCGUGCGUGUAACUGUAGUGUAGUCAGGUGCUCAAUGGAGAAUAUAAAAAUAAACAUAUACAGAAAAAUAUAUAUUUUAAGUUUAAAAAACAGAAAAACAGACAAAACAAUCCCCAUCAGGUAGCUGUCUAACCCCCAGCUGGGUCUAAUCCUUCUCAUUACCCACCCGACCUGGCUGCCCCUCACCUUGGGCUGGGGGACUGGGGGGCCAUUUCCUUUUCUCUGCCCUUUUUUUGUUGUUCUAUUUUGUACAGACAAGUUGGAAAAACAACAGCGACAAAAAAGUCAAGAAACUUUGUAAAAUAUCGUGUGUGUGAUUCCUUGUAAAAUAUUUUC
rnacentral:sRNA from 1 species